rnacentral:lncRNA from 1 species
GCAGAGCUUGGGUAAGGAGUGUCUUCAGGAAUCUGCCUGCUGCUGCAAGAGCAGCACUUCCCCAUCACUGCUGUGUUGGUCUGAGAGUCACAUCUCUGUCCUGCCCACAUGUCCCUACAGUGGCACUGCCUGCAUAUCCCUGAGAAACAAAACAACCCAAGUCACACAGGGUUGCCCUCUCCUACCUCAAGAGUUGCUGCUUUUUCUCCAUAUCCAGGUCGGCUGAGAGGCACUGAGUCAGCAGCACGAUGUGGAGAUGAAACAUACCUGCAGAAGGGCGUUUUGGAAAGUCCUGCAAUUCUGCCAGAACUGCGCGUGAUGGAGGAUAAUGAGUCCUUCUAAAAAUAGCAGCAGCACCUCCUCAGAGGGUUACUGGGGCAGCUGCUGGAGCUCAGAAGAGGCUGUAAUUCAUAUGCUGAAGCCACACAGGGACGUUUGGGCUUUGUAAUUCCUGUGCCAUAAAGCAAAAGAAGCAAAAGUUGUAUCUGAAGAGCCCACAGAAAUUCAGAGGAUGAGGACAUUCCACUCCUGCUGUGCUCGUCAUGGAAGGAAGCACCACUGUAACCCAGGGGAUGGCACUGAGGAUUCUGUUGGCGCACACAGCACACCUUGCAGAAUAAAACCCAGAAUGGCAGCAGAGCAGCUGAUGGCCGUGGGAGCGGCUCAGCCUCACCGAGGGGUUCUGUUUCCUGGGACAAGAACGGGUGCAGCCUCCAGAGCUCCACUGCGAUAAUGCAAGCCAUGGGCACGGGCUGGGAGUGCAGCGUGACCCCGUGGGAACUUCCUGAGGGAAAGCAAGUUUGAGGGAGGGGCAAAGCGCAGGUUCAGCCCCUCUCUGCACUCACAGUGCUCCUCACAGCAGCAUCUAUACAGAAGCACUCCGCAUUUCCCAGGGAGAGGCCCUUACCGCAGCACCCCGUGCUUAGCCCACGACGCUGGCAGCUGUCCCCCCAUGUGUGAGCUCCUCCCCACCGGCCCCAUCCCAGCACCCCCAUCUGUUGGGCCCCAGCCUUCCCCUGGUCUCCUCUUACUCUGAAUUGCAGCUCUGAUUGCACAGCUUUAUGCUCUUGCAGCGCUUUGCUGUUGGAACAAUUUCUUGCCAAAAGCACAGCACGGUGCUGUGCCUUCCUGCUCCCCCCGGCUGCCAUCUGCCACCCAGCAUAAAGCAAACGUGGGGCUGCUGCUGCCCAUCUGCUCACCAUAGAGUCAACCGAGCAGCCUUCCUCCCGCCUGCAGCAGCCACUGCACCGGAGGCUGCAAUUGCUGGAAGUGCCAAGGAGACAGAGGGAGACACACAAUACCUUUCAUUGUGCUUCAUCUGUGUACUGCAGCACUGAGUCCAAGUGGGUCCUACUGCUUCCAUCCAUCCUGGUAAGAGCAAGCACAGGGGGUCGAGCUGGGGCUGGGGAACAGGGCAACCACAGCUGAGCUGGGAGAGCCAUCUUGCUUCUGUUUACACGUGGGGUUCCAGUUAGAAACACUCUUGCAGUGGAGUAUCACAGAAUAU